ensembl:lncRNA
GCUGGUUCGUCAUAAUCGGAAAGCCUAGGGAGACGCUGCAGCGGGUCGGGCUGUGCUGUAAGCGGUCAGUCGGACAGCAGCAGCAGCAGCAGCAGCGAGCGCUGGCGGUGCUGUGGGGAGGGUCCGUGUCCCGAUUCGGCCGGACUUUGGCCACUGUCCCUUCAGAACCACCGCUCCGAAAUUAUUCUCAUACGUGCUGCCUUUGUUUGUCCAGGAAACCGUGAGAUCACGCAACGGUGAACAUCGCAUAAACAAUCGGGAAAAACCGAAGCGUUGCUACGAACUUUACAUUUCCCUCGAAUUAGUGUGAAACAAAGCGGUGAUUAAAAGUUGGAAUUGGUCAUUAGGUGCGUCAAUCUCCGCGUCUUCGCCCUCAAACCGAUGUCGGUCGCCUGUCGUCCAGCGCUCUCUCUGAUUGGUUAGUCGCAGCUCUCAGGGACCCUCUAUUGGUCCACCGCCCGUCCGUCAUAGCAUCGUGGGCGGGACUUUGAGGCCUCGGCUCCCGAGAGGCGAGAAAAAGCUAAAGCUGCACUUUUCCAGUGUUCUGUUGCAGAAGCUACCGCUGAGUCUCGCGCACUCACGCUGUCGCGCACUCGCUCGCAGUUCGUAGCGUCUCGCCGGCGGAAUCCCGGAAAAGAGCGGUGUCCGCGGGGAGGGGGGAGGAAAGGCAGCACUCGGCGCGCGAGGACACACUGACUGCACGGCACAGCGUCGCGAGCCCUCACCUGGAUAAACUCGUGCGCCCGCGUGCGGGGAGAAAAGAAGGGGCGGACGGAAAGAAGAAGCAAGUCGAGCAUCUCUCCGCGCCGGUUCGGGUGAAGGAAACGAGAAGAAUAUGAUCGUGAAAGGGCACCUGCUCUUUGCCCUCUACAGCAUCUGCGGGAUCGUUCUGAGAGGGCUGCCGCUCCCACAUUCCCGCACGGCCGUCGAGCCCCCGCCCCUCCCCGCCUCGGCCCGUGGUGUCGGUUGCCAAGCCGACGGUACCCUUGUGGACCGGACUGCAUUGAGGCGCCUCCGUCUCCGGUCCAUUCCCAAGAGAAGAAAAGUGCAGGGGAGCCAGAGAAAUGGAGCUGAAGCAAUGGCAAUGACCGUCCACCCCCCACCCCCACUCCCCAUCCACAAGAGAACAGAGUUGACAUGGCUGGAAAGUGCAGAGAUGCGCUCACGGCAGCAGCUGGCCGAUAUUCUUAAGGUUUAAUUAGCUGAAUAAUGACAUGAUUAUUGCUGACCAGAAGAAUACCUUUCUCCUCCACUAACUUGUUUGAAAAUCUUCACUGGAGCUCUGAGUGACUCGAGUGUAAUAGUGUUAGGGUCACCCUUUUCACCGGUUACAUGUUAGUGUCGGCGCUAAAGGCAUCGGGAGAGACGGACAACGAAAUGCAGCGCAGUCGGACUACGCAGUCUUUUCAGGUGAUCUCAGCCAGCGAGGGCCUCGCUCCACUUCUCAGUAAAACCACACGGAGACCGACAUCGGGAUGGAUCGCACUCGGUUUCGUGCAGUGUGUAGGCUGGCAGCUCCAGUGCCCCGUCUCCUCACCACUGCUGUUCACGCCAAACGGAUGACUCACCCGGAGACGUGAUGGAGAGUCCCGGGCCGCAAGCGUACCUGGAGUCACGCGUCCAACCAUAGGAUCUUGGAAAUGGCUGCCCUUUGAGAACUGCUGAGAGAGUAGCUGUCUUCUAGACAGAUGCAAGGUGAGCCCUGUCACACUCGUAGUCGCAGUUGCACGUGCGGCGUGGCCUUCCUGGUUUUUCGCUUUGUCAGCAUGGAAUGGAAGUGGUUACGGAGUGGCGUUAAUAAACCCAGACAUGUAAACA